rnacentral:rRNA from 1 species
UACAGAGGGGGCAAGCGUUGUUCGGAAUUACUGGGCGUAAAGGGUUCGUAGGUGGCCUACUAAGUCAGACGUGAAAUCCCUCAGCUUAACUGGGGAACUGCGUCUGAUACUGGGAAGCUUGAGUAUGGGAGAGGAAGGUAGAAUUCCAGGUGUAGCGGUGAAAUGCGUAGAUAUCUGGAGGAAUACCGGUGGCGAAGGCGGCCUUCUGGACCAUAACUGACGCUGAUCCGCGAAAGCUAGGGGAGCAAACGGG